rnacentral:rRNA from 1 species
UUCCGGUUGAUCCUGCCGGAGGCCAUUGCUAUCGGAGUCCGAUUUAGCCAUGCUAGUCGUGCGAGUUCAGACUCGCGGCACCGAGCUCAGUAACACGUGGCUAAACUACCCUACAGAGACGGAUACCCUCGGGAAACUGAGGUUAACCCGUCAUACCGAUCUCAGGCUUGAAUCGCAGAGAUCACAAAAUGCCCCGGCGCUGUAGGAUGUGGCUGCGGUUGAUUAGGUAGACGGUGGGGUAACGGCCCACCGUGCCCAUAAUCAGUACAGGUUGUGAGAGCAAGAACCUGGAGACGGAAUCUGAGACAAGAUUCCGGGCCCUACGGGGCGCAGCAGGCGCGAAACCUUUACACUGCACGCACGUGCGAUAAGGGGACUCCGAGUGCGAGGGCAUAUCGUCCUCGCUUUCGUGUACCGUAGGGUGGUACACCAACAAGGGCUGGGCAAGACCGGUGCCAGCCGCCGCGGUAAUACCGGCAGCCCGAGUGAUGGCCGAUCUUAUUGGGCCUAAAGCGUCCGUAGCUGGCUACGCAAGUCCGUCGGGAAAUCCACUCGCCCAACGAGUGGGCGUCCGACGGAAACUGCAUAGCUUGGGACCGGAAGGCUCGAAGGGUACGUUCGGGGUAGGAGUGAAAUCCCAUAAUCCCGCACGGACCACCGAUGGCGAAAGCACUUCGAGAAAACGGAUCCGACAGUGAGGGACGAAAGCCAGGGUCUCCAACCGGAUUAGAUACCCGGGUAGUCCUGGCCGUAAACAAUGUUCGCUAG